rnacentral:lncRNA from 1 species
GCCCAUUUUCCUGAAUUUUCAGUUCACAGGGACAACUGCUUUGAUGUGACUGGGAUGACUUCUUCCUAAUUAGAGCUGCAAAGGUAACUGAGGAUGAAGAUCCCUUUCGUUCAUUGGUCGUGGAUGGUUCUCAGCCUUUACACGGCAAAUGCUAUCUGGUGCUACAGUUGUGAAAAGGAAAUGGGGUCUUGCGGCAUUCUGUCCGAAUUCUGUUGGGCAGGUGCAGAAUCAGGAUGCUUCACAAUGAACCUCUAUAUUGGUGAGUGUGGGAAACACACAACACAGGCAGAGGGAGAGGGAGAACUGUCUGUGGUGAGAAUGUUCCCAGAUUGGUCUUGGUGGAAAAAAAUAUCUGGAAAUCGUCUCCCCAGUUCUACACAAUUCUCCAAAGCCUGUUAUGCUUCAGGAGCCACCUCUUGUCCUGGAGAAGUCUUUCUUAAUGAUCGCAUUAUUGCCCCCAUGCUAUCUUGGCGCUGGACUGUGGUUGCAUAAUGUGAACUGCAACAUCCACGAUGAAGCAGAUUUAAGCUCUAAGCUACUGACUGUCCACCUUUCCCUUCUAGACCAGCUGCUUCAGCUGUCGCAUGCAGCAGAAGGUUCUUCUAACAGAUGGAAGAACUCAACAUCCCUCCUUUUUUCUGUUUCCAGGAGGUUCCAUGAUCAGUACUGAAGUUGGUUGUCUCCAAGGCUGCAAAAAUUACACAUCAGAGUCUUUCUUCAUGUGGCAUGAAUAUACUUGCUGUUUCACAGACUAUUGCAAUGCUUAGACUGAGAGUGGGAGGCUAUUGCUGGUUGGAGAACCAAGAAUCCCUCCCUGCUUGACCCUCUGAGUUGAUUCAAAUUUGUGCCUUAACGUAUAAAUGGACUUUUCCAAGUUGAAUUAAUGUUUAUAUGAUGUCCUUCAGCCCCUUCACAGGAGGAAUGAAUAGUUAUGAAAAGAUGGUGGGGAAGGCAAUGCAUUUGUAGUGUUAAAUGAUCAUUUGGUACAGCAGCAUCUUACUGACACUGCCAUAUUUUUUGCCAAUCUGGUAUAUUUCAGAUCUGUAGCUCAUUUUGGCCCCAGGCAGCACAGCAAGAGCAGAUGGGGGAGAUACAGUUCAAAGCAUUUGAAGGAUAUAGGAUUGCUUUAGUUCAUAGUCCUGGAGUUUCAGUGCCAUAGGGAAANUGAGGUCUUUUAAUACUGUCACUUGUGUUGGGUUACUGCAUGUGUACUCUGGUCUNGAACCAUCAAUAAAUAAAUUCAAUUCAGCUGGUUUUUGUCUUCC